rnacentral:rRNA from 1 species
UACGUAGGGUGCGAGCGUUAAUCGGAUUUACUGGGCGUAAAGAGCUCGUAGGCGGCCCGUUAAGACAGGUGUGAAAUCCCUGGGCUCAACCUAGGAAUUGCGCUUGUGACUGGCGGGCUCGAGUACGGUAGAGGGGGGUGGAAUUCCUGGUGUAGCAGUGAAAUGCGUAGAGAUCAGGAGGAACACCGAUGGCGAAGGCAGCCCCCUGGGCCUGUACUGACGCUCAUGCACGAAAGCGUGGGGAGCAAACAGG